UGGGGAAUUUUGGACAAUGGGCGAAAGCCUGAUCCAGCAAUGCCGCGUGUGUGAAGAAGGCCUUCGGGUUGUAAAGCACUUUUGUCCGGAAAGAAAUCCUUGGCUCUAAUACAGUCGGGGGAUGACGGUACCGGAAGAAUAAGCACCGGCUAACUACGUGCCAGCAGCCGCGGUAAUACGUAGGGUGCAAGCGUUAAUCGGAAUUACUGGGCGUAAAGCGUGCGCAGGCGGUUUGCUAAGACCGAUAUGAAAUCCCCGGGCUCAACCUGGGAACUGCAUUGGUGACUGGCAGGCUAGAGUAUGGCAGAGGGGGGUAGAAUUCCACGUGUAGCAGUGAAAUGCGUAGAGAUGUGGAGGAAUACCGAUGGCGAAGGCAGCCCCCUGGCAAGUACUGACGCUCAUGCACGAAAGCGUGGGGAGCAAACAGGAUUAGAUACCCUGGUAGUCCACGCCCUAAACGAUGUCAACUAGUUGUUGGGGAUUCAUUUCCUUAGUAACGUAGCUAACGCGUGAAGUUGACCGCCUGGGGAGUACGGUCGCAAGAUU
rnacentral:rRNA from 1 species